AGGCCCUUGAGGAAGGCGACGAGAAGCUCGGUGGCCGCCGCCGCCAUUUUGGGCUGGGAGGAGGCAGCGGAGGGACUCGCUGCGCAGUUGUUCAUGGACUGCCACCAAACCACAGUGAACCAAAAUGUGAAACAUUCAUUCGUAAAAGAAUCUUCUGUGAAGACGUCCUGAGCGGUGUGUCGGGCGGCUGUACAGGGAAGCAAGCAAGAUCGGCGCUCCCCGCCCUCCCCGGGCCUGCGCACUCCUCCACCUCCCAGC